rnacentral:lncRNA from 1 species
CCCAUGGCAUAUGGAGUUCCUGAGCCAAGGAUCAGAUCCCAGCCACAGUUGUGACCUUUACCACAGCUGUAGCAGUGAUGGCUCCUUUAACCUACUGUGCCAGGCUGGGAGUCAAACGCGCAUCCUGGCACUGCAGAGACACUGUCUAACCCGUUGCACCACAGCAGGAACUUCUCAGGUUUUUCUACUGUGCCAAGAGCUGGCCUCCUUUCAGACUUUCCUCCCUCUCACCAUCUUCUACCCUCUUCCCACCACCUUUGUGGACAUCUGAAAGCCCUGCUCCAGCCUGUGCUGCCCUCAUGUUGCACUCAUUUGCCUGUUCUUCCCGUCAGAGACAGUGCAGCAAAGCCACUGGCUCUGAAGUCAGUUGGCCCAGGUUCAAAUCUCCACUCCUCCUCUUCCUAGGGGUAUAACCAAGGCACAUCUUUCCACCUCCUGGUGCCUCAGGGUCUUCAGCCAGAAAAUGGAUGUCAAACAACACUCAGCUCUCAGGACUGUUGCAGGGGUUCGAGAGAGAAUAUACUUAAAGCAACCAGAAGUGAGCCUGGCACUAGUGAUUUCUCAGUAGAUAUAGGCCAAAUGUUGCCUGAGAAAAAAAGAAGUUGGAACUCUAAAGCGGACUUGGUCCAGUUCCUGAUGCCAGCACCUAGGAUGGUACCUGGUGUGAGCAGGUGCUCAUUCAGUUCAUGUUCAGUGACUGAAUGGAGGAUAAUAUCCAUUACUACAAAACUGCCAGCCUCAGCAGAAGUGACUUUGAAAAAUAAUGAUCACAUCUUGUAUAUUUUUAUGGUCUAAGGUGAUGGGACAAGAUCUGGGAAGGCUAGGGCUGCCUCUGGCUGCACUUGUGUGGUGAGGUCAGGGCGUCCCCUGCCGGCCUCAGGGAGCACUGCAGGCAGGGACCAGAGAGGCUGCUCCCACCCCCAAGCUACCAGCCUGGAGGGAGGACCUGGUGGCAUUGCUUACUUACCCUACCUGGCCCUGAGCAAAGGGAAAACCACUGGCACUUAUGGGCUCUGGAAAGUUCCCUAGAGCUCUCAGGUGGGUCUGAGGGGAGAGAAGUAGUAGCUCUUAGAAAUUUGGAAGUGAUUUCAACAAUCUAGUCUAAAUUCUUAACAUAAUGAUAAAUUUUUUUUUUUUUUUUUAAAUCUACUGAGCACUUACCAUGAGCCUUUUACAUGGAUUAUCUCACUGAAACCUGAGAACAAUCCUUUCGGGUAGAUGCUAUACAGUACUCUGUUUAAGGUCCCAUAAACAGGGAUCAGUGGCAAACCCAGGCCCCCUGACCCCCAAUACAGUGCUCUCAUACUGUCUCUCCAGGACACUAAAUCCAGGACUACAUUAUGGGGAUUCAGAUGCGGGCAGGAGUCCCAGGAGGUUUGAGUUUCCCAAGAAGAUGCACAGUGAACACUUGUUGAUUGACUGACUGAUGGUAAGAAUAAAGAAGUGUGUCUCAUUGGAUUCAGUCCACGGAGUAUGUUGCCACAACCAUAAAGAGGUUAUUCACACUCUGGGCACCUAGACUUCUAGGACACACCCUCAUUUUCCUCUGGCCAGCCCUCUGCCUCCUCCAGGCUAAUGACCUCCCACAGACUCAGGAGGACUCCAGGCUUUAUUUAGGACCUCACUUCCGAUACUCUGCACUCAAAUCCAUCCAAUGCUAUUUCCUGCUGUGUUUUGCUGAUACUCUCCCUCCUUCAUCCUGAACUGACCUUAAAGUCAGCACACUGGGGCUACAGUGAGGCAGGUCAGAACCUUCAGGACACAGUGAAGGAAGGACUUGAAUUCAUCUCUAUUUCACCCAUGACAAAACUGAGGCACCAAAGGACUUAAGUAAAUUUGGAAUAAAUGAAAAAAAAAAUUGUGGAUAUUUCCAAUGGAAAACUUUGCAGUGUUUAGGACAUAUCCUUCUGUGCAAUCUGAUUAGAGCUUUUCAUUGCCUUUGAGCUUGUUUGCAACUCUAAGUUGCAGAGAAUUGAUGGCACAGCAAUGCUUCCUGUCUAUGGAUACGCAAAUAAAUGCUGUUUGUUCCAAGGACAACACUCUCCUUUUGUGGAAAAGUCAAUUUGCUUCCAUUUACAAGUUGAUUUCAACAUUCCUGUCCUAGAACUGCAUCUGUUCUUUGGAUUCUCCAUUGAAUGGUUUGUAAUAUAUCCCUGGUUCCCUUCUUAAUGAUAAGGUAAACAGAUCUUGAGUAUGUGUAUGAGGGUCAUGAUUUCAUCUUUUAAUUUUAUUUAUUGUUUUAAAAAAUUAUUUUUGCCACACCCAAAUUCCCAGGCCGCUGCAGUGACAAUGCUGAGUCCUUGACCUGCUGAACUGGGGAACUGCUAUUUUUUAAAAUUAUUUUUUACCAGGGGUAAUAGGUUAUUUGCCUGCAGUCUCACAAGGAGAGGUAGGCCUAGAAUUUGAACCCAGCAGCUAGGAUGCAGCAUGCAUGUUUAUAACCACCACCCGAUGUUCCAGGUGCUUGCAAAGCCUGAUUGCAUGAGAGUGGCUGCAGCUGUAAGUUAAUCAGUCCUAGCCUAAAUAAGACCCUUGAUCCUAACUCAAACCCUAGCCCCGAUUAAAAGCUAAUAAACUAAAUAGUACUCUAAGGAAAGGAUAUAUGGUACCAUAGCAUUCGGGAGAGACAGCUUUAGGUGGUACAAGCAAGACACUCCAGCUGAGGGGCACUGGGUGGUGUUCUUUAUCUUUCCCAGGACCUCUGUGGCCUCACCGCACUUAGCCUCAACUAGAUACCUAGACUCUUGUGUUUCUUGCUGAGGGCUUCUGCGUGGUCCUUGGUGCUGUGCAGGCCUUUGCUAAAGGCCUGGAUGUGGGAAGGGCUUUGGGAGCUGGUUUUCACUCCCCACAUCACCUGGAGUCAGAGGGAGUUGGAAGGUAUCCAUGGCCUGUGUGCCCUAGAUCCAGUGGCCUGGCCUCCUGCUUUAUUUGUGCUUCUGCACUCAGGGCUGAAAGCCACCAACCUUGUCACAAUGUAGGAUUUGGGGUGUUUGACAACAUUAGAAUGCAUCUGUGUUUUAUUAAUGUGGAUUCUCCAUUUCGUCAUUCACUGAGCUACCUUUAUUUCUGACUGGUUACAAACAAUCCCAUCUUUUUUCUCAUUGGGGAAUUUUCAGGUACAUAUUUUUAUAAAUUGGUCCACUUUGUUACUGCUUUCAGUCAUUGCUUUUAAUUUUUAAAUAAAAAAAUUUAAUUUUGCCAC